UUGAGCAACAGAUUUUUAAAGCAAAAAAAAAAGAAUAAAAGGAGAUGCUGGAACUGAUGUAUUUUUUUAGGUACAAGUAAUGAUAGAAACCUUUUUUUCUAGUGACAAGAAAAGGGACAUAUAUCUUUUUUACUAAAGAGGAAAAUAGUGUUUUAGAAAAUUUUUAAAUAUUUUUCCCUAAAUGUACUUUAAUUUUGUUUUCUGUGGACAUUUCCUAAAUAUAACUGGAUAUUUGGAACCACAAAUUACAUGUAUUUUCCUACAUAUAUCCAAUCUGCAAUUUCAACAUUCUGUCAAAAAGUUUAGUAAACUUAAUGGAACAUAAUUAAUAUUCAUUCUCAUAUCAAAUUCUCAGCUGACAUUUUAGAAAACAACAAUAACAAAAACAAAGGAAAAGAAAGUAAAAGAAGGGAAAAAAAGUCAUCUCUUCUGAUAUUUUAGACAUUGGAAAUAAACAUAUUGUAUUAGAGUUACGUUUUAAGUCCAAAAAAGUCCUUUAGGCAUUUUCCAAAAUGGAAAAAAAACAUUUUAUCUCAUCUGUAUUACAUUUCAGAUCACCAGUGAACAAUUGCUUUUUGGAAACUAUAAACUCUAGUUAUUUAGGUGGUAACUGCCUUCCUAAAGUAAUUCUCACUUUUUCUCAGUAUGUGGUAGAUUUUUCAAAAUGGCAGGAACACGGUCCCCUCAAUAUCUUUAGAUACUUGUUAUCUUCCUAAAUUUAUCUUUCACUCCAUAGCCUUUUCCAUGUGAAUUUGAAGUGUCCUUUUAUUCUGAUGCUGGGGUCUGCCAGCAUUCUGGCAAUGGGAGACUAGGUGAUGGGAUACAGCAGAUCUUGAAAAGCACUCAUGCGAGUGUGCAUGCCUGUGCUUGCCCUCUUCCUCUGCCAUGAGAACAUGCACCAGCUAGCCUGCUAGAAAACAAGAGACAUGGAAAGCACAGCUGAGCCUCCCUAGUUGCCACAAUGCUAUUACUAAAUCAGAUGACAGCCAGUUGACUCCUAGACAUGACAGCAAGCCCAAAAGAGAUCAGCAAAGCCACAAAGCUGACCACCCAAGACACACAAGGAAAAAGCAUAUAUUGUUGUGUGCCACUAAGGUUUUGUGGUUGCUGGCUACAUGUCAUUAUUGUGGCAAUAUAGAGCUGAUUCAGCAGAUACAUCAGGACUGUGUUGGCACUGUUUUAUAAUAAAGUGAAUUAAAGAGCUUUGGAACAUCCUGUACAGAAAGCAAUGAAGAGAGAGAGUCUGAAGUGAUUAUGAAAAGAAUAUUGAGCAAGAAGAGGAACUUCUUGAGUAAGAAGUGGAACUGAGAGGUGCUCAUCAUGACAUUUAAAUAUUUCCUGAGAAUUCUCAGAAAUAUUAGGGUUUCAGUGGCCCUGGUUCCCCAUGACAAAAGUACAAAGAGUACCCGCAAGAAGUAAGUUGAAGAUAAGGAGUGAGGAGAAGGAAGGUUAGUGGUAAGGCCACCAGUGAUUCUAACAGCAAAGGGACAAGAAAAAAGACUGGAACUUUAUUUAGAGGAUAAAGCUGAUGCCUGGCUUGCCAUCUUGCCCAGAUGGGACCUCAGGCAUAGGUUCCUAACUGUGAAUAUCCUGAUUUUGAAGAAAACAGUAGAUUAAUUUCAACUGCUGGCAGCUUUCACUUGACCUUGCAAAGGUUACAAUUAUCCAGAAAUCUCAUACCUAUGAGGGAAGCCAACUUCUGUGUCAUGAGGACAUUCAAGCAGCACUAUGGAGCCAUCCAUGUGGCUAGGAGCUGAAACUGAGCCAAGAAGCAGUGAGGAACUGGCUGGUAACAGCCAUGUGGGUAAAAGCCAUCUGAGAAGUGCAUGCUCUAGUCUCAGUCAAGCCUUCAGAAGACUGUGGCACCUGACAUCUCCACUGCAACCUCAUUAGAAACUCAAGACAGAACUGCCAGAGAAGCUCUUCCUGAAUUUCUGACCUACAGAAACGGUGUCAAAAAGAUAUUUAUUAUUGUUUUGAGCCCUAAGUUUUUGGAGUGACUUGUUGCUCCAAAUAUAUUAGAUAAUAUAUUAUAUAUGUAAGGUAACAUUUCAGUUUUGACAUUUUCACAUGCAUGAUCAGUUAUUUCAGCACUAUUUAAAAAUUUCUUUCUAUCUUCUGUUAUCAGCAAGAUCAGCUGUGUCAUAAAUUAAGUUUCCAAUUAUAUGUAGAUUUGAUUCUGGACUCUUUAUUCUGUUUCACAGGUCACGUUGCUUAUUCUUGAGUGAAUACUUCAUUAUUUAAUUAUUAUAUAUAUAUAUUUGAUAAGGCAUACAGUUUGCUAUAGUCUUACCUAUUUUUAAACCUUUGGUCUUUUAUAUCCUUAGAAUCACCUUGACAUUCUUUACAAGAAAAUCCAUCGGGUUUUGAGUGGAAUUACACUGAGUAUAAGUACCAGUUGGGGAAAAAUUGACAUCUUUAGUAUGUCGAAUCUUUUAAUCCAUUUGUAAUCCAUGCUGUGUUACUGUUUUUAUUUGGAGUUGUCUUUCAAAAUGUUUUACAGUUUUCUUUGCAAAGGUCACAUACAUCUUUUGUUAGUUCCAUUACUAGGUAUUUCAUUUUUAUACACAAGAAUGAAAUAUUAAUAGAUCCUUAAAGAAAAUAACAUUUAAAAUAGCAUAAGAUAUAUCAAAUUGCUCAAGUCAGAAACUGGCACAUAAUAAAUACAUCAUAAAUGUCCUAAACCAGAUGUAUGAAUGAAUAAAUAAAUGGAUGAGUGGAUGAAUAUGAGACCCAGUAUGCCUAUCUAUAACCUAUUAUUUCAGAUACCAUUCUGCUUAGGUAUUCAGUAUUCUCAAGGGAUUUUUCUCCACAAUAAGAAAACUUGAUGCUUCCAGUUCUUACCUCAGUAUGCCACUGAUAAAGUAAAACAGAUCUAAAAGAAUAGUUUCAAAGAGAUGUAAAAUGACACCUUAUGUCAACUUGUCUUUUCCUUUUUCAUGACUCCUUUUUCUUCUUUCUAACUUUUGGCAUCUGUAAUUGAGAUUUCCUUCCAAGCAUAUUUAGCUCAACUUAAAUAUACUUCAUUGAGGCUUUGGCAAACCUUUUCAAGUAUAAGGAUAAUACAGAAUUAUCUAUUUUUCUAUAGUUUGUUUUAUUGCUGCUGUUAUUGUUGUUUUAUUUUGUUUGCUAUAAAGAUUAGCCUCUUGUUCAAUGGAAAAUAUGAUCAAAAACAGUGUUCAAAAAUUAUUUAAGGGCCCCAUCACUACAGCAAUCAUUAGUCCUACUGUGUAUGAAAUUUCUAAGUAUUUCUAAAUGCUCAACCCUAGACAUGCCCUUCACUGAUAUUUUUAAUGUGCUUUCAGUACCUUGGCCAUUUAAUAACUUAUGUUCUUUUUUCAAAAUCUUAGGAAGAAAUUGUGUUUUGGAAUUGGGCCAACAGUAUGUGUUUCUCCGGUGGAUAAGCAAAAUUUCAUAAGAACAAAGAUGAUUCAAGCAGAUGUUUAUCAUGAAACUGCCAUAAAAAGCACCCGAAGUCACAAAGAUAAACAUCAAAUCCAGUCCUUGGAAAUUUCCCCCACCCUACCUGAGCAUCUUUUGAAGUAGAUAUUCAAUUAUUUUGAAGGAUUUUUAAAGAAUUUUCUAGAUUUCAUCUAAAAGACACUUUUGAAAUCUGCGUUAAAAUUCAUGGAAAUAUAUCCUAGAUGAAUUUGGAGGAAUGUAAGCAAGUAGGUACAAACCUUUAUUUUAUCCCUCAGUGACUCACUCAGUUGUGAAUAGGAAGGGCUCUCUGUGAUCUGGCCACAGCUUAUUUCUUGCCACAUUCCUAUUUUCAGUCCUCUUCCAAUCAUGUGGAACUUCCAGCAUCUCCUUACACAUGCCAUGUUAUUUCACACUUUUGUGACUUUGCUCAUAUUUUUCUCUCUCCCUGGAAAGCUCCCCGACAACCUCCACUGCCAUUACCCACUAGGCAAGUACAUCCUGUUUUCAGAAUCAGCCCAAUAUCAUCUUUCCUAGGGAAUCUUGUCAGACUGCCCUUCAUUACCAACAGACAAAAUAACUACCUUAUCUUUGGUUCUGUCUUCACUCUAGACCUAUGUAGCAUGCUACUUAUAACACUGCAUUGGUUUGUUGGCAUUUGUAUUUUCCACUGAGCAACCAUAACUUAUGUGUAGACAAAAAUUGUAUUGCUCACCUUUGGAUUACUAGGACCUAGCAGUGUUCUGAUUCAGAGUAUGUACUCAAUAAAUUCAUCUUGAAAAGUGAAUGAAUGAAUAAAUGAACGCCUGCAUCUCCAUCAUUGAUUUACUAUUUAAUCAGUGAAGUUUUUAAAUUAUAUUCCCCCAUAUCUUGAGAUUUGAUCUUGUGUUAAAUCAGUUGCACAUAUUAGACAUUACUUUGUCCUUUUCACUUCUCCUUAGCACAUAUGGGCUAUAUAAUCUUUAUAAAGGUUAAAGAAAUAUAUUGUAAUAUGUUAUAACACAAUCAAGAUACAUCUGAAACAACAUAGUGCAGGCACUAUUUCCGAUGUUCAACAUCAUGCUGGAGUAAAACUUAGAGACUCUUGGAAAAAAGAAAUACUUAAAUAAUGUCACCAGUGUAAUGUGCUACAUUGUAAUGGUGUUAUGCUUAUUACAUGUGUUAUCUAGUAAUGCACAAAAAGCCUAAUGGAUUUGCUCAUAUUUUCCUCAUGUGCAAAUGAAAACACUGAGUCUCAGAGAGAUUAAAUAAAUUGCCAAAUGUCAUGUCAAGCGAUUUUGAUCCUGGUAUUUCUAAUAUAAAAGCCCAUGUUUUAAUUUAUUAACUGUUUGACAUAUAACAAUAAUAGAUCAUUACAUGUUAAUAUAAAUAACCUAUGUAUGAAGACUAAUUAUAUUUUUACUUCUGCAUUCAAUCAACUGCAACAUGUCAUUUUGGUUGAUGUGUACAGAAAAUACUCAACAUCUCGCAGAUAUUGGGUUGGAAAACAGAGGACAUUUUUAUAUCUGUUUCAGAUAAAUGUAUAUAUUUUUCUUUGAUAGUACACCAAAAUUUGACAAGUGACUAUUUCUUAAAGGGUAGUUGCAGCAUGAAAUCCAAAAUAACAUCAAUAAACUUUUCAUUCUCUGUUACACUAAAA
rnacentral:lncRNA from 1 species